rfam:Thermoplasmatales archaeon DG-70-1 WOR1_52_54_19613, whole genome shotgun sequence.
GCCCCGGUGGCUUAGCCUGGUAUAGCGUCCGCUUGGUAAGCGGGAGGUCGCGGGUUCGGAUCCCGCCCGGGGCU